CCGUAGCCCAAGAGAUCGGGAUAACACCUGGAAACAGAUGCUAAUACCGGAUAACAAUAGAUGAUGCCUAUCAACUGUUUAAAAGAUGGUUCUGCUAUCACUCUUGGAUGGACCUGCGGUGCAUUAGCUAGUUGGUAGGGUAACGGCCUACCAAGGCGAUGAUGCAUAGCCGAGUUGAGAGACUGAUCGGCCACAUUGGGACUGAGACACGGCCCAAACUCCUACGGGAGGCAGCAGNU
rnacentral:rRNA from 1 species